rnacentral:tRNA from 1 species
GUAAAAUGGCUGAGUAAGCAUUAGACUGUAAAUCUAAACACAGAGGUUAUAGCCCUCUUUUUGCCA